CUGGCUAAAAACCCUCCUUCUCCUCUCUCUCCGACUCCUCUGCUGCUGCUAGGGUUAGGGCCCGGUUGGGAGGGAAGUCAGGCGCCACGGCGAAGGCGACCACCGGGCGGCGCCGGCGAGGUGGAGCAUCUAGCUAAGUGAUGGAGGAGGACCCAUCGGUCCCUGAAGGUGCCAUCCAGAGCAUUAAGCUUAGCCUAUCCAGCGAGCAUGAGAUACGUACGUAUUCUACAAAUGACUGUCCUGUUACUCAACCAAAACAGCUUAGGGAUUCUUUCCUUGGCUUACCACUCGAAACAGGAGAAUGCAACUCAUGUGGUGCCUCUGAAAAUGGCAAAUCCG